rnacentral:rRNA from 1 species
UACGUAGGGGGGCAAGCGUUGUCCGGAUUUAUUGGGCGUAAAGAGCGUGUAGGCGGCCAAGCAGGUCCGCUGUGAAAACUCGAGGCUCAACCUCGAGACGUCGGUGGAAACCGUUUGGCUAGAGUCCGGAAGAGGAGAGUGGAAUUCCCGGUGUAGCGGUGAAAUGCGCAGAUAUCGGGAAGAACACCCGUGGCGAAGGCGGCUCUCUGGGACGGUACUGACGCGUGAGACGCG